UUCAACAUUCCCCAUCACCUCCAGCGCCAACAUCGACUCAUCUCUUGAGACCCUACAGGGCGCUCCUUCCGAGCCGCCCUGUUACCGCCGUCCUUGACGCAAUUUCCUGAAAGGAGACAAAGAGCCAUUUACUGGAACCGGGGCUGCCCCUGGAUUCUGAAAACUGACGGGAGGAAGGAAGAGUGUCCGGCCACUGGUCUAGUCCUUCCCGUUCACAGAUCUCAGGAAGUCCUGGGCGUGCCCCAGAGGCCUCGUGUCCAGGCACGUCAGGAAUCGGAGGGAAAAGCCCCAUCUCCACGAACCCCUCCUCUCAGGCCCCCAAAGCCCCUUGCUCGGGGCCCUGCACUCACUAGAGGCUCAGAGGCGGGCAGGACCAGAGGGAAGAGCGCAGGGGGCAGAAGGAGGCACCGCACAGAGAGAGGGCAGCCCCGCGGCCCGGGCCCUUUGCCCGUCUUUGGGGAGCAGCUGAGCAGGCCCGGUCUUAGAGCUGCACAAGCCAGAGGCAGGUGCUGAUUCCCUGGGGCUUUUGCAAAGCAGCAGCACGCAUGGGGCCCCGGGGCCUGGGGGGCUCCGGUCCCGCGUGGGAGCCCCGGUGGCGGGGGCCUGCGUUCAGUCGGGUUCCGACGACAGCCUCAGGCGAGCCUCCGAUGCCCACGCACAGCCUCUCCCGUGGCCGUUGGAUCCAAAUUCUGCGGAACCCAGAAAUCCCUAUUCAGAUGGAGGUCUUCUCCUUAAAAAGCAGCCGGUGAAUUCCAGACACUCGUAUCCUCCUUUGCACGCGUCUCCGCGCCUCGAACGCCGUCCUGCUCCUGCUCCUGCUCCGGGCAGAGGAACAAAGGGGAGCAGCUGAGGUUCUCUCUGGGCUGGUCCCCAGGAGCUGCCGGCGGAAUGGGUCUGCGGGGGCCUGAGGACUGACAGGUGCACAUUAAGGAUGGCUGGGUCUUCCUGGAUCCCGUCAGCAGCACGUAAUGCCCGUCUCCAUCGUGAGGACGUCCCCUGCCCUUAAACCUGCUCGGUGUGGGGAUGAGGCGACUCUGGUGUUUCGUGGUCGGUGUUGGGGCAGCGCGUCCUUCUCUGUCCCUUUGCCCGUAUCCACCUGGCCUUCGUGUGUGACGAUUUCCAGUACUAUGUUGAAUGAAGUGGUGAGAGUGGACAUCCUUGUCCUGUUCCUGGUCUUUGAGGGACUAAAAGCUUUCAGCUUUUCCCCACUGAGCAUGCUGCGAGCUGUGGGCUUGUCGUAUGUGGCCUUUAUUAUGUUGAGGAGCCUGUGUGUGGGUCCUGGGGUCUCCUGUGGAGCCUGCUGAGGGGGGCGCUCAGUCAAGGACCUGACCACGAUCGCAGGGGAUGCUGUGCACAGGCCUUGAAAAUGGGAGGGGCCUCUUCUCCAGAGUUAUUGGGAACGGCGGAAGGUUCUGGAAGACGCGUCUAUUAAAGAGGUCACUUCUGCUUGGCAACAAACCGGACCACGAGGCUGGAUCAGGUUCGGUGUGAAUGUCCACACUGGGCGGCCACGAGGCUGGAUCAGGUCGGGGGUGGGCGUCCACAUGGGGCAGCUGGGCCGGCACGCUGACCUCCCAUGGAUGCUGUCGCUCUGGUCUGGGAGAAAUCCCACAGCAGCUCGGUGGACCCCGACCACCACGGCAGCCACGGGUGUGAGCCACUGCCUGCCGGCCGUCUCUUCCGCUCCGCACUGGGGCUUCCUGCCCCUUCAGGGGAUUUUGGGGUCCGGGAGGAGGUGAGACGCUGCCUUGUGUAGAGUCUGCCGUCCCUUGUUGGGGGGACGCUGGGAUUCCCUGAAAGGCGCUGUCCCUGUGGUCUGGGGGAGCGGCUCCCCACCGCCGUCCGGGCCUGAGUGUGUGGGUGGGGGCUCCCCCUCGCCGGCCCCCCUCCCUGGUCUCCGGGCCGAGAACGAGCUGUGGAGACAGGGCCCGGUGUGCCUUGGGCACCGUGUCACCUCAGCGAGGGCCUCAGGGUCCUAACUGCGAGGUCAGUGCUGGGCGGGAGGACAUGUGUUAGAUCCGCAGAAGUGGCCCGUGCCUUUCUUCCUCCUUCCUGCUCUCGGAUCCUAAACCUGUCCCAGGUUCAACAGUGGCCUCAAUCGGAAUGGUGGCAUCGCAGGACCUCAGGGUGACAGUGUAGGGAGAUGGGGUCUUUAUGGGGGGGAUGUAGGUGAAAUGAGGUCAUAGGCGACCCUGAUCCAAUGUGGUGGGUGUCCCUAUGAGAAGAGGAGGUCAGGGCACACACACACAGGGACGACCCCGUGAGGAAACAGGACGGACGGUGUCUACAUGGCAAACAGAAGCCUCGGGAGGUACCAGCCCCCCACACACCUGGAUCUCGGCCUCUGGCCUCCAGAACCGCGAGAGGAGGGAGGUCUGUCAUCGAAAGUCCUGCAGUGCUUUGUCACGGGGGCCCCAGUGAAGGAACACACACCGGUCCCUGCUGUCCCCCAAGCAGCACCCAGCAUCCCACCAGGAGGUCAGUGACCCCACAGCUUUGGUGGGGGGGGGGUGGGACGGCGGCCUGAGGCACAGGCCCAGGUGCUGCACAGAAAUAGGGUCGAUUCAAAUAGGCGCUGGGCCUCCCCUCUUCCGCUCCCUCGCUCGGCUUCCGGUCUCCAUCCUCCUCGUGGGCAUAGCCUGUUGUGCGCAGAAAGAUCCGGAACGGAAAGGGCUUUCCGCUGGGGACGGGUCUGUCAGACUGGACGGGCAUGUCAGCUCAGAGUCCCCGAUUUCCGGGGUCCCAAGACCUGGAAAGGUCCAGCGGGUGUGGGCAUCGGGUUGUGGGCAUUGAGGAGAGGCCGGGGGCCUCCGCGGGGCUGGGGCCACAGUGAUUCGACUGAGAUGCUGAGCGUCAGGAGCUGCGGGGCCUCUCACGUCUGUCAGGUGGGGCCUUGCAGGUGGCCGUGUGUCUAUUGCACGUGUCCCUUCUGAGGCCUGUGAGCGCUGGGUGUGGGCAUCCCAGCCCCCGGGCCGGGCAAAAAGCCCACGGAGCCGACGUGGGUCCCACGGAAGGACCGCGGGGACACAGUGCAUCACCCACAGGAAGCCCAGUGGGGACUCAUGGGGCCAGAGAGCAGACCUGAUUCCUGUUGAUUGACUUCGCCUCGAAAGGGAAUUUAACAAUGAAAAGUGAAUUCCUCCUUGAAGCUUUGAUAAGGGGAGAGGGCUCACAUCCACGGCCCCCCCGGCCCCGGGGCACAGGGAGGACCGACCACGUGCCCCGAGGGCCAGCUCCUUGGUGGGCCCGGUGGAGCCUGGGGGGCAGGAGGAACCCCGCCCACGUGGCCCCAUGUCCCCUUCCCCAGGUGUUCCCGUGGGACCCGCCAGCCUCCCUGCCCAGGGCGUAGUGGGACUUUUUGACUGUCUGCCCUCUGCCUCCCCCGGGAGAUGAGCCCCUCGCGGCUCAGUGUCAGUGACUCCGGGCCAGCUCAGGUGUGGCCAGGGUUGGGACGGGGCGUCCAGCUGUGGGGGCGGAGGGUGAGUGGCCCACGCGGUGUAUGGGGUCUGGGGUGGGAGGUUCCCGUGGAUGCCCCUUCCUCCGAGGCUGGAGGCAGAGCCCAGAACUGGGGUCUCCUCCGGGUGGGGGUGGUCCGGGGGCCAGGAGGCCACAGAGGGUGUGUGGGUCUGAUGGCAGUGCCUCACAGGGCAGCUGUCUGAUGGAGGAGGGGGGCAGAGACGCGUCCGUGUGCCACAGCGCAGGGGUGGGGUGAGGGGGACGUGGCCUCCUUGGCAGAACGUAAGGUGGGCGUGUGGUGCCUUGCAGACCACAGACCAAGGGCUCCAGAGACACGGUGGGCCUUUGCGGGAAGGGAGGGAACAGGGAGCCCUGCGGGGGAGGGGUGUCGCGCGUUAACCAUGAGGGUGCCGGCCGCGGCUGCCCCCCAAGGUCUCCUGCGCGCCACGGUCAACAGAGGGCUGCCUGUCCCCUGAGCUGCGAGGGUGGGGGGGGGCACCCAACAAGCAGGUGGCGGGCGGGGGGACAGUGAGUGCAGCGCCUCCCCUGGGGCCACCGAGGGCCCCGCGGGCUGAUGGCUCCAGUGAGAUUCCUGCAGCAGGAGGGCCCUGGAGGCGCGUCGGGGUUUCCAGGCUUCUCUUCCCUGUUCUUUAGGGCAGCACGUCCCCUCCCCCGACAGAACCCCCGGGGCCUGCCUGGCGGAGCCUGUCUGUGGGUCUUGUUCGUGGGGCCCAUCCGUGGGGCCUCCCGGGGCCCAGGCUAUUGAAGUUCUCGCCCCAGACGCUCACACAGGGCACCCUUGUGCCGCGUUCCUUAGGGUCUCCGCCCCGUCACCGCCUGGAUUUCCUGCAGGCCCAGGGUCCCCUUAGCUGUCUGCACGUGGGCUGGAGUCUGCGUCCACGCACUCGCUCUUGGGGCGAUUUCCUCACGCAUGCGGCCACUGUGUCCUGCUCAGAGACCCCCUGUGGCCGCCCCACUCCCCGGCCCGUGCCCGGUGGCUCCUGGGGCCAGCUGUCUCUGCCUCAGAGGGUGUCCUCGAGGGAGGGGCCUGUCAGCAUGGCAGACGGGGACCACGAGCGUCCACGUCUGUGGGCAGGCCCCCUUCCUACAUCAGUUCUCAAAACGCGGCGUCUGGGUGUGAAAUGGGAUCGGGGUCCGCAGGAAGGGUUCUGGCGGCACAUUUGGCUCAGGGAGACGUGCAUCUUCUCCUGGGCCUGCGGUCAGGGCUCCAGGGAGCGGGAGACGCACCUCGGGCGCAGCGUGCUGGGCUCUCAGGGUUCCCACCCUGCUUCUUUCUGCUCGGGACCAGCAGUCCCAGCCUCCGCAGCGGACCCGUCCAGAUCUGAGCGUGGGACCCUCACGUGGCGCUCUUGGCCAGCACGUUUCCCGUGGACCUCCUGGCGGGCAGCCUGGCACAGUGGUGUAGCCGUGUCCCCGCAGACGUCACCAUGGAGCUUCAUGAGACGGUGGCCACGUGGCUCUGAGUGUUGGGGGGGUGGUGUCGGCAGUGAGGGCAGGUUACGGGCCCCCGAGAGCCUGGUUCCGUUUGUGAACAGAGUGUGGGCACCAAAGGGGACUUGGAAAGCGGUCCUCAUGUGUCUCAGCCCAUCGGGACGUCUGUAGCAAAGGCACCAUGGACAGGGGCUCACACAGACGAGUUCAUUCCCAUCUUCUGGAGGCGGGGAAUCCCAAGACCACGGCGCCACAGUCCCGCCAUCGGGUGAGGCUGCCUCCUAGCCGUGUCCUCCGGAGGUGGAAGGGGACCGAUUGUUUUGGGGGCCACAGAGGGGGACAGCGCGUCAACAUACGCCUUUGGGGAGGGGGGGCGGGCGCUCAGAGCACAGCAGUGCCCUUCACCCCCGGCCCCUUCGCUUCCCGGGUGGACUUCCAAGUCCUGGGGCGGCAGCUGAAUUCCCACCAGGCCCGGGGGGUGGGUCAGCAGGGCCGGAGCAGCGGGAGCUCAGUCCUCGCACGCGCUGAAAUCCGGCAGGAGCACACGGGACCCCAACUCGGGGACCCUUCCGCUUUCGAAUGUUCCACCGGCCAAGUGCUGGCCAGGAGGUUAGCAGUGUCACCGGGCUGAGGAUAUUUUUAGUUGGUAGACCUCAACUUUGACUUGUCCCUGAUUUGAAAACAUGCUUUUGUUGUAAAACUGAAAAAAAAAAAAAGCUUGUUAGAGAGGGGCUGGAAAACA